rnacentral:rRNA from 1 species
GGGUAGAGCACUGUUAAGGCUAGGGGGUCAUCCCGACUUACCAACCCUUUGCAAACUCCGAAUACCAGUAAGUACUAUCCGGGAGACACACGGCGGGUGCUAACGUCCGUCGUGGAGAGGGAAACAACCCAGACCGCCAGCUAAGGUCCCAAAGUAUUGCUAAGUGGGAAACGAUGUGGGAAGGCUCAGACAGCUAGGAUGUUGGCUUAGAAGCAGCCAUCAUUUAAAGAAAGCGUAAUAGCUCACUAGUCGAGUCGGCCUGCGCGGAAGAUGUAACGGGGCUAAGCAAUACACCGAAGCUGCGGCAAUGUCUUUUAGACAUUGGGUAGGGGAGCGUUCUGUAAGCCGUUGAAGGUGAAUCGUAAGGUUUGCUGGAGGUAUCAGAAGUGCGAAUGCUGACAUGAGUAACGACAAAGGGGGUGAAAAACCUCCUCGCCGGAAGACCAAGGGUUCCUGUCCAACGUUAAUCGGGGCAGGGUGAGUCGACCCCUAAGGUGAGGCCGAAAGGCGUAAUCGAUGGGAAACGGGUUAAUAUUCCCGUACUUCUGACUAUUGCGAUGGGGGGACGGAGAAGGCUAGGUGGGCCAGGCGACGGUUGUCCUGGUUCAAGUGCGUAGGCUUGAGAGUUAGGUAAAUCCGGCUCUCUCUAAGGCUGAGACACGACGUCGAGCUACUACGGUAGUGAAGUCAUUGAUGCCAUGCUUCCAGGAAAAGCCUCUAAGCUUCAGAUAGUCAGGAAUCGUACCCCAAACCGACACAGGUGGUCGGGUAGAGAAUACCAAGGCGCUUGAGAGAACUCGGGUGAAGGAACUAGGCAAAAUGGUACCGUAACUUCGGGAGAAGGUACGCUCUUGAUGGUGAAGUCCCUCGCGGAUGGAGCUGACGAGAGUCGCAGAUACCAGGUGGCUGCAACUGUUUAUUAAAAACACAGCACUGUGCAAAAUCGCAAGAUGACGUAUACGGUGUGACGCCUGCCCGGUGCCGGAAGGUUAAUUGAUGGGGUUAGCGCAAGCGAAGCUCUUGAUCGAAGCCCCGGUAAACGGCGGCCGUAACUAUAACGGUCCUAAGGUAGCGAAAUUCCUUGUCGGGUAAGUUCCGACCUGCACGAAUGGCGUAAUGAUGGCCACGCUGUCUCCACCCGAGACUCAGUGAAAUUGAAAUCGCUGUGAAGAUGCAGUGUACCCGCGGCUAGACGGAAAGACCCCGUGAACCUUUACUACAGCUUGGCACUGAACAUUGAACCUACAUGUGUAGGAUAGGUGGGAGGCUAUGAAGACGUGACGCCAGUUGCGUUGGAGCCGUCCUUGAAAUACCACCCUUGUAUGUUUGAUGUUCUAACUUAGACCCAUUAUCUGGGUUGAGGACAGUGCCUGGUGGGUAGUUUGACUGGGGCGGUCUCCUCCCAAAGAGUAACGGAGGAGCACGAAGGUGGGCUAAUCACGGUUGGACAUCGUGAGGUUAGUGCAAUGGCAUAAGCCGCUUAACUGCGAGAAUGACGGUUCGAGCAGGUGCGAAAGCAGGUCAUAGUGAUCCGGUGGUUCUGUAUGGAAGGGCCAUCGCUCAACGGAUAAAAGGUACUCCGGGGAUAACAGGCUGAUACCGCCCAAGAGUUCAUAUCGACGGCGGUGUUUGGCACCUCGAUGUCGGCUCAUCACAUCCUGGGGCUGAAGUCGGUCCCAAGGGUAUGGCUGUUCGCCAUUUAAAGUGGUACGCGAGCUGGGUUUAGAACGUCGUGAGACAGUUCGGUCCCUAUCUGCCGUGGGCGUUGGAAGAUUGAAGGGGGCUGCUCCUAGUACGAGAGGACCGGAGUGGACGAACCUCUGGUGUUCGGGUUGUGUCGCCAGACGCAUUGCCCGGUAGCUAAGUUCGGAAUUGAUAAGCGCUGAAAGCAUCUAAGCGCGAAGCGAGCCCUGAGAUGAGUCUUCCCUGACAGUUUAACUGUCCUAAAGGGUUGUUCGAGACUAGAACGUUGAUAGGCAGGGUGUGUAAGCGUUGUGAGGCGUUGAGCUAACCUGUACUAAUUGCCCGUGAGGCUUAACCAUACAACACCCAAGGGGUUUUGUA